UUAGUUCUCCAUGCAUAGUAGCUUCCAAGCCAUUAUUGUGUCCCAGUUUUUUGACAGUGUAUGACCUCAGCCACCAUGCAGCAACUGCAGGCCCAUCCAGGGAGUUUCAAAUCUUCUCUGGAGACCAGGGUGGGCUCCCUCUUCAACCAGAAACAGCAGAUACAUGAUAUCAUUGCUGCCACUCCCAUUCCAGAAACUUUCACUACUCUGGCUCAGCCUUCACUGGAGGAGGUGUUACCUGAGCCCCAUGCACCUGUUCAUGAGCCUAGAGGGAUCCAAAUUGAAAAGUACAACAGACACUCAGCCACCUGCUACUAAUUCCUGAGGACACUGUAGACCGACUUGCCCCUCUAAAUCUCCCCACCAACCAUGAUUCCCUGAUUGCCCCAGCUGUUAAAAUAGAUCAUCGGCUGUUGGAGAGAAGGAGAGAGUGCUCACAGAGAUUGAUUCAUCCUCUAGUCUACAGAUGGCAGCACUGACCAGAGUCUGGAAGAGCCUGGGAGUCCUCAUCAGCUAAUAAUGUCCCUACUGGUCUGGAGGAGCCAAUGCAGCUGGGACACACUUGCCUCUCACCAGAGGAGCGCCAACAUCCUGUCAGAGAUGAGAGGUGCAUCUACUGUGGCCAACUCACCUAAAGGUCCUCUGUCCACUAAAAGACAGGACUAAUCAGUAAGUGGGAGGUUACUGGUGAGCCAAGCCCUUUCUGAUCCUCCAGCCUCCUGACCCUUGACCCAGGCAGUUGUUCACCUCAACCCAAUCCUUAGAACCUUCAGUUUUCAUAGAUUCUGGGGCUGACGCCAGUUUUAUGGACUACAACCUGACAAACAACUGCUGCUUGACUAUUUCUCACCCCUGGUGGCCAAAACUCUAGAUGGCACACUGCAGUAACGUGUCACUUAUCACACUAAGCCUGUGGAUCUUUACAACCCAAAGGGCGUCUAUACUCCCUCUUGGCUCCAGAGAGAGAGACCAUGGAGAAUUACAUCCAGAGCUCUCUUUCUGCAGGGAUUAUCUGGCCAUCCUCCUCCUCAGCUGAAGCAGGUGUCUUCUUUGUGGAAAUGAAGGACAAGCCAGUUCAUCCCUGCAUUAACUACCAAGGACUCAGUGAGGUCACCAUUUAAAAAAAAAAAAAAAAAAAA